UACGAAGGGGGCUAGCUUUGUUCGGAAUUACUGGGCGUAAAGCGCGUGUAGGCGGGUCUUUAAGUCAGGGGUGAAAUGCCAAGGCUCAACCUUGGAACUGCCUUUGAUACUGGAGACCUUGAGUCCGGGAGAGGUGAGUGGAAUUGCGAGUGUAGAGGUGAAAUUCGUAGAUAUUCGCAAGAACACCAGUGGCGAAGGCGGCUCACUGGCCCGGAACUGACGCUGAGACGCGAAAGCGUGGGGAGCAAACAGG
rnacentral:rRNA from 1 species